rnacentral:tRNA from 1 species
UCUCCAGUGGUCCAGUGGUUAAGACCCUGCAUUUACACUGCAGGGACCACAGGUUCGCUCCCUGGUCAGGGAA